rnacentral:rRNA from 1 species
UACGGAGGGUGCAAGCGUUGCUCGGAAUUACUGGGCGUAAAGCGUGCGCAGGCGGUUCGUUGUGUCUGAUGUGAAAGCCCCGGGCUUAACCUGGGAAUGGCAUUGGAAACUGGCGAGCUUGAGUGUGGCAGAGGGGGGUGGAAUUCCGCGUGUAGCAGUGAAAUGCGUAGAGAUGCGGAGGAACACCGAUGGCGAAGGCAGCCCCCUGGGCCAACACUGACGCUCAGGCACGAAAGCGUGGGGAGCAAACAGG